CGACGGGCGCAUUGCCGACGGGUAAAACGCACGUGGGACACGGGGCGGCUUUGCGGUUGUGUCAACAGUUGGCCUUCACGUGGCCCCCCCUCUCGCCCGUCUCCACCGCCGCCGAACACGCGCCACCUCACGGAGCGUCUGUUCAUUCCGUGUGGCUAUUGCUGAAGCACGGCACAGAGUUUCACCUGGAGCUGAUUGAUCACUGGGGCCUCCGUGGCCGUGAUGCGGUUGUCAGGUUCAGGAGUGCGUUUGGCCACGCAAGGACAUAUCACUAUUUCACCGCGGCCCUUACGAGCCGAGGGAAACGCCGACCUCGAUAUAAAGCGAACGGAGGAAUAUCCCCUUCAAUCUCGAGCAUGAUGGCUGAAGAGGCCAAUCCGAGCCCGGAAUUCCCUGUGGCACACUGGACAGGUCAGGGAGGAUGUAGAGCUCUGAGGUGCAGCCACACGUCCUUCCUUGGUAGAUUUGCGCUGCUGCCUCUUCAAGAUGGCACAGGAGCGUCUCCUACUCUCACAGAGGACUGCACCGUCCUGUACUUUUCUUCUCCAGGCAGGUCGGUCCUGUGCUAGGGAUUGCAUCAUGAAAACUUGAAAGCAAAUAUAGCGGGGCAGAGGAUGACACGCCGCUAGAAGGGACGAUGACAGAUGGUCGAGACCAAUGAAGGAGUGCAAGUCAAGGGCACGAACGCGCCUUGAGAGAACAUCUACCAGGGUGGGAUUGAGCGAUGACACCGGCUGGCGAUGAAACUGACUGGGGGCAUUCAUCCAGCAGUGGAUUGAUCGUGGCUGCCGACGAUGACUGCCUUAACGAAGCCGAGUAAAAUGAGGUGAUUCGCUCGUGCGCAUUUUUCAGAGAUGCUUUCUCUUUUUUUUUACCGACGCACUCCGGACCGAAACACUCGAAUGCAGAUCCUAGUAAAUCCAGAUGACUCAGACAUUUUUAUUACAUCAUACGUUCAUAAUAAAGGUUGCUGAAAGGCCACAAUUGAGUUGUGGGAAAGAAUAACACUGAUCACGAGGCUAUUGUGCAAGGAGGAUUAUGGCAAAACAUCAAAAACAUUGCCCGUGCGUUUGCCAAAUCAAAACCACGAUCUGGGGCUCUUUGCAUUCGGCCAUCGCCGCAAUAGUGUGUGCAUAGUCUGGCUGCCAAACCUCAACGACACCCAUGAGUCCCCGCACAGUAAAUUUCAAGGGACACGCACACACACACAGAUGACACAGAUGAUGACACACGGACACGUACAGGAGAUGUGCCAUUGUUGUUGUUGUUUAGGCAUGUUGGUUAUCAUCAGCCAUCAUGAUCAAUCCGCUGCUGAAUCAAGGCCUCUCGGCUGUCGCCAUCUCUCAUUACCGCUAAGUAACAAUUUACCGAGCGUCUGCGCGCCAGAUGAAUCCUCUGCUCCAACUCCUCGGUAGUAAUCUGUCAAGCUGUCAAGAGGCAUUCAUUCAUUCAUUCACACACGAGUGUAGUGAGCGACUUACGAGACACGGCGUGUAGAGGGCUUCUUCUUAUUUAUUCUCACACUGGGCACAACACAGGCCGAUACACGUAUAUACACGUCUCCUCUCACUGGGCACAAUACUGGGUAAUAUAUAUAUAUAGUCUCGACUUUAGCUACGCACAGCCGACCUCUCUACAUCGUCCCAUCGCCUACAUCAAACCACACGGCUGACUGACUGGUGUGACGAUGACGGCGAUGGGUGCCGUGCGGAGGAUCUUCCAUGCGGCCGGUCGACGGAGAGAGAUGACGGCGAGCAGUGACGCAGCCAGGAUCCAGGACCCCGCAAUAACAACCCUGAACCUGCGGUUCCAUCCCCCUUAUAUACCUCUCGGCGUGGCCAAGCCCCGCCUCUGGCCACGCCCCUUUCCAGAACCUUCGAGCAGAUUCCCGGAGCUUCCCGACUAACCCCACUGUUUACCUUUAACCCAGAUACACCCCCUUCUGAUUGGUUGUUACAUAACCUUGCCCAUACCCGUGAUUACCCUUCCAGAUCGACAGGUGGCACCUUGUCAUUACACAUGCAUAUAAAUCUCGAUUCAAAACUCGUUUCUUUAGAACUGACUUUUGUGUUUCAGCUUCGCUUCCAUUUAUCAUCCACAUGCCAUGACAAUAAUUGAAUAAUGGGCCAGAAGUACAUAUGGACUACAUUUGGAAUCCCAUCACCCGGGCGAUCUGCUCCAUUGUCGAGAGAUGGAGACAAUCUGCGCGAUUUUGCCAAACGUCGACGAGAAGGGGGCAUCCAGCACCUCCGAUUUAGCACGGUUGGCUAUGUACGGUGGUGCGAAAGAAGUUCAACACACGUACGUACGUACGUACAUUUACCAGCACGUGAAUCUGACCCAGUAACUAUAAUCAGAAGCAUCGCUCUCCGAUGGACUUUUUUUCGGUUGAAGGCGCUCCCUGGAGUGGAAAUGUCCAUGUGGCCCGAAAACUGAUUCAGAGAGAUUGCGCAACACCAUCGCGGCCACCGACGUGGUAAUUAUAAUCAGUGGCAUGAGGCUAUUCCCAAACGAGAGGUGUAACGAUGCAUAUAGAUGUCUUCAUUGAUAUUUAGAGUUCAACCCAAAGCCCACUGGGUUGACUCAAGAGAGUAGCGUGCUGGAUGAGCACCGAUAAAUACCCCUGGGGUUUGUUGAAGUCAGUAAAAUUUGCCCGUGAUUGAACCGGGCUCGGCCAAGGACAGCAAGAUACUGGGUCUCAGCCUGGUCACCAAAUGCCCGCACAAAAUCGACGUCACGUAACAUUUUUUGGUUGCGCACUUACUUUUUUUGCUGAAUCUGACGCUGAUAAUUAAACAUGUCAGGUUUAAGCCUCACGUGCCAGACCUUUACGUCUCUGUGGCAGGGCGGGUGGGAAAUUGCUGCCCCAUAAUGUGGAUAAGAGGUCGCUUAAAGAGAUUUCAGAAACUGUUCUGUGGCAUCCAGUUCUGCGGACCUCUCUCUAACACGGGGCGAUGUACUCCUCUGAACGAGUGCCUUCAUGGAUUCUCGUGACGCGAUGCCAACUGCACGCUCGGGAAAAAUAAUUAGAGGAAAGUGCAAAUUUAUGUUUACAAAAUAAUGAUUAAGCUCGUGAUGCAAUGCAUCAAAGCACUUGAGUAAGAAUGUAUAUCGUUUGAUUCAUGUAGGUUGUGUGUCACAACAUUAAUGACCUCUGCAUCCACGAGUGGCCACCAUAUCCCCCGCCAUGCAGUCACAACUCUAUUCCGAAUCAUGAUGCUGGGCAGAGAGAGAGAGAGUCUUCACUGCAAGUUGACAAUUAGUAAAUGUAAAAACAUGUUCAAAUGAUGAUCGUGUAAUCUCCAACUAUAAAGUAUAUCAAAUUCUCAGCGCGCGCUUUCUCUCUCUCUGUGAAGAAUAUCCAUUGCUUGAAAUGUAAUCCUCCUCUGUUCCUCUUG